rnacentral:lncRNA from 1 species
ACAAUGCUUUUCUACAACUGGAAGGACCCACUGUGCGGAGGGCGCGGGGAGAGCGGACGGUACCAUCGGCCGCCGCGCCCUCGCGAGCGCCGCCGUGUGGCGGGAGGGCGAAGUGCCCGGUGAUUGGCCGUGCGGCGCGUCUCCAAGGGGAAGAGGAGUGAGGGGCGAGGGUUCGCCCCGCCCCUGGAGUCCUCUCUGCGUUGUGUGACAGUUCUUGUGGCGGAGAAGGAGGUUUCAUCGAGUGUGGAUACCCACCCACCCUGCCUCCCAGUGUCAAGAGCACAUGGUCCGCGCUGAGCUGCGGGUGUAGCCCAAAGGACUUGAGACCUCGUGUUCUGGGGGAGGACAGACAGAGUUCACCGUCUCCAGCUGAGGAAGAACCUCUCAAGCCAAGGAGGUCUUGUCACAAGAGAUUUGGGGAAUGAAGACGUUAUGGUGGAGAUUCAGGUUGAGGAGCCUGUUCACAUACCUGCCGCCUAUUUAAGUCAACGACAGCUUUUCACUUCACCGGUAAAGUGGGUCCCCCAAGCCCUCCUCUCAGCUCAGUGGAAGUGCAUUAUUCACAAUAGCCAAGACAUGGAAGCAACUCAAGUGCCCAUAAACUGAUGAAU